rnacentral:rRNA from 1 species
GUGUCAGCCGCCGCGGUAAUACGGAGGUGGCAAGCGUUGUUCGGAAUUACUGGGCGUAAAGGGCGCGUAGGCGGCUUGGCAAGUCAGAUGUGAAAGCCCCGGGCUUAACUCGGGAAUUGCAUCUGAAACUGCUUUGCUUGAGUCCUGGAGGGGAUAGUGGAAUUCCCAGUGUAGCGGUGAAAUGCGUAGAUAUUGGGAGGAACACCUGCGGCGAAGGCGGCUAUCUGGACAGUGACUGACGCUGAGGCGCGAAAGCUAGGGGAGCGAACGGGAUUAGAAACCCUAGUAGUCC